rnacentral:rRNA from 1 species
CAGUCGCCGCGGGAAUACGAAGGGUGCAAGCGUUACUCGGAAUUACUGGGCGUAAAGCGUGCGUAGGUGGUGGUUUAAGUCCGUUGUGAAAGCCCUGGGCUCAACCUGGGAAUUGCAGUGGAUACUGGGUCACUAGAGUGUGGUAGAGGAUAGUGGAAUUUCCGGUGUAGCAGUGAAAUGCGUAGAGAUCGGAAGGAACAUCUGUGGCGAAGGCGACUAUCUGGGCCAACACUGACACUGAGGCACGAAAGCGUGGGGAGCAAACAGGAUUAGAUACCCGGGUAGUCCCUGUCUCUUAUAC